rnacentral:lncRNA from 1 species
AGUUUUGUUCUAAUUUACCCGCUUCCCCUGCAAAUUUUUCCCUUUAUCCCUAGCUGAUUCUUUCCAUUGAUUUAUUUUCAUGGAAUUACCCUCGUGUCCUCAGCAGUUUCUAAGUCGUAGCCUGGCCUACGCACAACUUUUUCCCCAGAGUCUCUGUCUCCCCAGUGAGUUUUCCUUAUGGAAUGCGUUAUACUCCUGUG